GACGAACGCUGGCGGCGUGCUUAACACAUGCAAGUCGAACGGAAAGGCCCUGCUUUUGUGGGGUGCUCGGGUGGCGAACGGGUGAGUAACACGUGAGUAACCUGCCCUUGACUUUGGGAUAACUUCAGGAAACUGGGGCUAAUCCCGGAUAGGAGCUCCUGCUGCAUGGUGGGGGUUGGAAAGUUUCGGCGGUUGGGGAUGGACUCGCGGCUUAUCAGCUUGUUGGUGGGGUAGUGGCUUACCAAGGCUUUGACGGGUAGCCGGCCUGAGAGGGUGACCGGCCACAUUGGGACUGAGAUACGGCCCAGACUCCUACGGGAGGCAGCAGUGGGGAAUAGUGCACAAUGGGCGGAAGCCUGAUGCAGCAACGCCGCGUGCGGGAUGACGGCCUUCGGGUUGUAAACCGCUUUUGCCUGUGACGAAGCGUGAGUGACGGUAAUGGGUAAAGAAGCACCGGCUAACUACGUG
rnacentral:rRNA from 1 species